GAUGCCUAUGCAAUCAGGAUGGCAAACACAUUGCUGCUGUGUUGAGGCUUAGUGAACUGGUCCAUUAUGCUGCUCUUUAUAUGAACUCAUUUUAUGAUCAAAUCAUGAAUGAGGUGAAAGUGCUUUAGGAUGUGCAUGGAUUUCUGGUGAGACCACAUCCAACUCCGUGAUGAAUUCUUUCGUUAGGCGACUUUCCUUAGCAAUCUUUACUAACAACAAAUAACUGAGUCAAACACAGUUUGCUAUUUGAAAC
rnacentral:lncRNA from 1 species